rnacentral:ncRNA from 1 species
GUACCGUUCGAGAACCUGUGGACUCCGGACGAGGUGCGCCGUACCCGGUCAUGACAAGACGGCGCCUA